GCACCGGUGGAAACCCUACCCAAAAUAUCCUCCAAUUUUCGCCGUCAUUCAUGGAAAGGAAGGAGAUAGCGGCUACGUCGGCACCGAAUUCCUUGCCGGCGUAACCGCGCCGGCAAUUCGCGAUGCUCGACGGCGAUGUCGCGUCCGGCGUCGAUCUAUCCCGCUGUGCUCGUUGAGGAUGUGGUGCCGCCGUCCUUGAAGGCGGACGUCCUGGCCAUGGUGAUGGGGGCUGCGUGGGCCGUCGCCAUUGAUGGCAGGCUGCGCGCGCUACGGUGACGGCGGGCCGGGAGACGGCGUCCGCGCGGAAGACGGAGGCUGAGCGGUUUCUGUGUGCUGGAGUUUGCUCCGGCGGCGUGGAGAGGAGCUGCAGCCGGCGCAUCGCAAAGGGAUGGAGGCCCCCUUCUCCCAGCCAGUCACCGAUUAUAUGUGGUUUGGUCGAUGAGGAUGGCGUGAAAGAUGGCUGCUCCACUCCGGGUAUGUUUGAUGCGAGCAUACAAAACCUUUGCCGUUGCGUCCCAACCUCUAUUGGAUAUAUGAAUGGAUAAAAUGUUGCAUGGCGAUCGGCAGUGGAGGGCCAACGGGAGCGGGAACGAAGUUCACAAGCGGUGGUGCCAUGACCCUCUUUGAGCCAGGACGGCCCAUCCUGGGUCCCAUCGGCAUGAGUGCUAAGACCCGAUUUCUCUUCUAACACGACUCAUGGUUCAGAACACAAGGACGUAUAUUGACUGAUCUGACUAUUUUCAUUUUCAUUUUCAUUGGCGCCAAGUAAACCAUGGUGAUAGGAAAAAGGAAGAGAUUGAAAGAAGGAGAUUGAUCAACGUUUGAUUGAAAGAAGGAAGGAGAUUUAUCACCGUCAUGAAUGAAUUGAUUGCCAUGCA